rnacentral:snoRNA from 1 species
AUCCUUGUGUACAUGAACGUGAUGAUUGGGUGCUCACACUAUUGUGUGAGAUGUGCCUCCCUCUACACCUUGUUACGACUUACCCAUCUGAUG